rnacentral:rRNA from 1 species
AAUCAACGCUGGCGGCGUGCCUAAUACAUGCAAGUCGAGCGGUAACAGGCUCUCACAGUUUUGCUCAAGUUCUAUGUCUCCGGAUAUAGAUGACGAAACUAUCAACAAUGGCCGGCUAGCCAGGAUGGAUAGCGGAGUUUAUUGAGCGAAGUGUGAGAGUGCUGACGAGCGGCGGACGGCUGAGUAACGCGUAGGAACGUACCCCAAAGUGAGGGAUAAGCACUGGAAACAGUGUCUAAUACCGCAUGUGAUCCACGGAUUAAAGCUUUAUGUGCUUUGGGAGCGGCCUGCGUAAGAUUAGCUUGUUGGUGAGGUAAUGGCUCACCAAGGCGACGAUCUUUAGCUGGUCUGAGAGGAUGACC